rnacentral:rRNA from 1 species
UAGAGUUUGAUCCUGGCUCAGGAUGAACUCUAGCUACAGGCUUAACACAUGCAAGUCGAGGGGCAUCAUGUCGGUUGCUUGCAACCGAUGAUGGCGACCGGCGCACGGGUGAGUAACGCGUAUCCAACCUUCCGCACACUAAGGGAUAACCCGUUGAAAGACGGCCUAAUACCUUAUGUUCUCCACGGCAGACAUCUAAUGUGGAGCAAAGAUUUAUCGGUGUGCGAUGGGGAUGCGUCUGAUUAGGCAGUUGGCGGGGUAACGGCCCACCAAACCGACGAUCAGUAGGGGUUCUGAGAGGAAGGUCCCCCACAUUGGAACUGAGACACGGUCCAAACUCCUACGGGAGGCAGCAGUGAGGAAUAUUGGUCAAUGGGCGAGAGCCUGAACCAGCCAAGUAGCGUGCAGGAUGACGGCCCUAUGGGUUGUAAACUGCUUUUAUGCGGGGAUAAAACGCGGGACGUGUCCCGCCUUGCAGGUACCGCAUGAAUAAGGACCGGCUAAUUCCGUGCCAGCAGCCGCGGUAAUACGGAAGGUCCGGGCGUUAUCCGGAUUUAUUGGGUUUAAAGGGAGCGUAGGCCGCUUUGUAAGCGUGUUGUGAAAUUUGCCGGCUCAACCGGUAACUUGCAGCGCGAACUGCAGAGCUUGAGUGUGCGCAACGUUGGCGGAAUUCGUCGUGUAGCGGUGAAAUGCUUAGAUAUGACGAAGAACUCCGAUUGCGAAGGCAGCUGACGGGAGCACUACUGACGCUGAAGCUCGAAAGUGCGGGUAUCGAACAGGAUUAGAUACCCUGGUAGUCCGCACGGUAAACGAUGGAUGCCCGCUGUUUGCACCUAGUUGCAAGCGGCCAAGCGAAAGCGUUAAGCAUCCCACCUGGGGAGUACGCCGGCAACGGUGAAACUCAAAGGAAUUGACGGGGGCCCGCACAAGCGGAGGAACAUGUGGUUUAAUUCGAUGAUACGCGAGGAACCUUACCCGGGCUUGAAUUGCAGGAGAACGAUCCAGAGAUGGUGAGGCCCUUCGGGGCUCCUGUGAAGGUGCUGCAUGGUUGUCGUCAGCUCGUGCCGUGAGGUGUCGGCUUAAGUGCCAUAACGAGCGCAACCCCUUUCCUCAGUUGCCAUCAGGUAGAGCUGGGCACUCUGGGGACACUGCCACCGCAAGGUGUGAGGAAGGUGGGGAUGACGUCAAAUCAGCACGGCCCUUACGUCCGGGGCUACACACGUGUUACAAUGGGGGGUACAGAUAGCCGGUGGCGCGCAAGCUCCAUCCAAUCCUUAAAGCCCUCCUCAGUUCGGACUGGGGUCUGCAACCCGACCCCACGAAGCUGGAUUCGCUAGUAGUCGCGCAUCAGCCAUGGCGCGGUGAAUACGUUCCCGGGCCUUGUACACAAAGCCCGUCAAG